GAUGAACGCUGGCGGCAGGCCUAACACAUGCAAGUCGAACGGAUCCUUCGGGAUUAGUGGCGGACGGGUGAGUAACGCGUGGGAACAUACCCAAAGGUACGGAAUAGCCUCGGGAAACUGGGAGUAAUACCGUAUGUGCUCGAAAGAGGAAAGAUUUAUCGCCUUUGGAUUGGCCCGCGUUGGAUUAGGUUGUUGGUGGGGUAAUGGCCUACCAAGCCGACGAUCCAUAGCUGGUUUGAGAGGAUGAUCAGCCACACUGGGACUGAGACACGGCCCAGACUCCUACGGGAGGCAGCAGUGGGGAAUCUUAGACAAUGGGGGAAACCCUGAUCUAGCCAUGCCGCGUGAUCGAUGAAGGCCUUAGGGUUGUAAAGAUCUUUCAGGUGGGAAGAUAAUGACUGUACCACCAGAAGAAGCCCCGGCUAACUCCGUGCCAGCAGCCGCGGUAA
rnacentral:rRNA from 1 species